AUGGUUCACUCUUGUUAUUCUAUGGGUUUUAACAAAUAUGUAACAACAUGUAUUUACCAUCGUGGUCUUAUACAGAGAUUUUCCCUGCCCUCAAAAAUCCUCUCUUCUCUACCUGCUCAUCCCUCCAUCCUCUCCCUCCCGCAGCAACCACUGUUGAUUUUACCCUCUCCAUAGUUCUACCUUUCAGUAUGGCCACUCUGCAAAUUUGUUUUGGAUAUUAUGUAUUAGCCACUUAUAGAAUUUAAUUGAAUAACAGUGUUAAUAUCCACUUGAAUUUUUUUAUUUAUUUCGCAUAUCAAUAUAACUUUGUAAUUAAAAUGUAAUUGGUUUAGAUCUGAUCAGAAAUGCAUCAUUUUAAUGAAGCUUAAUUUUAACUUCUAGUUAGAUGAAAUGCUGCAUGUUUUACAUAUAAAAUAUAUAAAGAGAAAAAUAGAAGGUACCACAGGAGAUAACCACUAUUAAUGUUUGAGUAUAUUUCCUUCCAAUGUUUUAAAUUGAAUAAAGAUAUGCGUUCCAUAUGUCAUUUUAAAAAUUAGUCAUUUAAUAUUUAAAACAUUUUAUCCUGCUGUAUUUACAUAUGAUCUCUAAUAAUUUCCUCAGUAAAGUAUCUUUACAAAUAACAUUAUUAAUGGUUACACAAGUAACAAUUAUGGAUGAAGAAGCACAUUUCAUUUUUUCACAGGGUUCUUUAAAUAAUUAUCAUAUAUAUUACUUGAGUUUGAAAUGGUUGCCUACCUUUGACUUGGGUCAACAUUUCAAUAUUAUGUUAUUGAACAUAUAUCCAUUAAUUAUUUUUGCAUUAGCAUAUUUCCAUAUAUAGAUAGAUAUUGGGUUCUCUUACAGUAUUAAUUUUGUUUUUGUAGCAGCUUUCUUGAUGGAUUUUUGACCAUUAAAAUAAUAAUAUUUAUUGCUAAUAUAAACACCUGGAUAAAAAGACAUAAGCCCUAGAGAAACCUCUGUACAGCUGACUACAUUCACAUCUCUCAGCUCACACUAAAAAUGUCAGUAUUCCAAGAGAUGAUGAUUUAAAAAUUGCCAUCAGCUGUGGAACCUACGAGCAGUGACAUGAAAUAAAAGCAAACCAUUAUAAAGAAUUGAGAAUAUGCCCAGUUCUAGAUGCUUUGCCUGUAUCGACUUAGUCUUCAUAAUAACCCUAUCAAGUAGAUAUGAGUAAGAUCACUAUUUUAAAUAUGAGGAAACCAACACACAGAGAAGUUAGGAAACUUGCCCAAGGUUUCACAGAUAACACAUUGUAGGGUCUGGAUUUCAAACCAGAGUCCCUGAAGACUUACUAUUUUUGAAUCUCUAUCAUUAUCUGGCUCAAUAAAUUUCAGAUAAUCAUAAUUCCAUGUCCAACGCAGGGUAGACCAUCCAAGGCUAAGUGAGGAUGAUCUUGACCCUACCUCACUCAGACCCACAGAUAGGAGAUAAUCAGUGCUGGAAAUGAGAGCACAGUAAAGAACUAAGGAAUGGGACAUGCACUCAACUUCGUGGCUUAUCUGAAAUUCUACAUACAAAAUGCAGUGAUCAAGUACUUAGCAAAAUCGCUGUUUAUUAUCCCAAGUAUGACAGGCAGUCAUGCCAAGAAGGAGGCCACAAGGACCAUACCCACGGCCAUGGCUACACCCGUUCUUUUCAUUAAGUGAAGAAUGUGUACAAAAGGUGAUCCUCAGGCUAUCUGCUUCAACAAACAAGAGUAUGUGUGUGGUCGAUCUUUCCUGUCCAUUCAUUUCAAGGUGCCACACCACUGAAAUGUCAUUAUAAAUGUAUGUGUGUGUGUGUGUGUAGGUCCUUUAUGCAAGUCAACAUACAAGUCAAUGUCAAGAUAAGACGAGUGAAGUUCCAACUUGGGUGCCCAUCUCCCUCCCCUAAAUCCAUAUUCAGUGGGUGCCAAAAUCAGAAGGGGCUUAGAGUAGGGUGUACAUGGCUAAUAAAAAAAAAUAGAGUGGAUUCACUCCAUCUCUCCCACACACCAACUACUGCUGGGUAGACACAAGCUAUUAGGAACUUCUGACAGUCAAAAUCUUUCUCCAGGAGGACGCUGAAGCAAUUCAUAGGGAUAAACAAAGGUCAAACAUGUAGCUUUAAUAGGCAGAGGUCAUGACUCUCUUUGAAAUGAAAUUUUCUCUAAUGUUGCACCUGAGAAGUUAUCAGCUAUUAUAUCAAAUGGAUAAGAAAAUUUACACUCAGAAUGAGAUCGAAGACUAAGGGCAAUGGCUAAAAACACAUUAUAUAAGGAAGGAAGUCAAGAAAAAUAUUAUUUAAAGAAGAAAUACGGCAGAAUUGAAAUCUGUCAGAAUUAGUAAGUAGGAAAAUGUAAAAAUAGGCCCUUAUAGUACUGCAGUUGAAAACACAAGAAGCCGUCUAAUUUCUUACUCUUUCUCCCUAAAAUUUUAUUUGUUUCAAAACUUUAAAAAAAAUGCAAAGUAAAGUUUUUAAAUGUUAAAAAGUAAACAGAAAUGAUUCUACUCUUCUAAAUAACAAUCACCAGAGGAAAUAAAAGUUUCAGUUAAAAAAAUUUAGAAAAUAAAAAGCGAGACAUUAAAAAAUGUUCAAAGCUGAGCUCAGUGAUAUCUGCAGAGACUUAGAUGAAUUCAAUAUUAAACAAGAAAGAUAACUGACAUGUAUACAUACUACUAUGAAUAGAGGAGAUAACUAGCAAAAACCUGCUAUAUAGCACAGGGAAAUCUACUCAAUAUUCUCUAAUAGUUUAUAUGGAAGAAAAAAGAAUGGAUAUAUAACUGAUUCCCUUUGCUGUACACCUGAAACUAAAACAACAUUGUAAGUCAACUACACUCCAAUAAAAUUAAAUAAAUGAGGUGAGAAAGUUAGAAAGCAAUAUAAUGCACUUUUAAAAAAAGAUGUAUAUAUACAUCUUCCUAAUCCAAUCAUCUGUCGAUGGACAUUUGGGUUGUUUCCAUGUCUUCGCUAUUGUGAAUAGUGCUGCAAUGAACAUGCGGGUGCAUGUGUCUUUUUUAAGGAAAGUUUUGUCCGGACUAUUGCCUUUUUGAGAUCCUGCUGUGUAGCACUGGGAACUAUCUCUAGUCAUUUAUGUUGGAGCAUGAUAAUGUGAGAAAAAAGAACAAUACAUGUAUGUGUAACUGAGUCACCAUGCUGUACAGUAGGAAAAAAAAAAUGUAUUGGGG
rnacentral:lncRNA from 1 species